rnacentral:rRNA from 1 species
UACGUAGGGGGCUAGCGUUGUCCGGAUUUAUUGGGCGUAAAGAGCGUGUAGGCGGCCAUGUAGGUCCGGUGUGAAAACUCGAGGCUUAACCUCGAGAUGUCAUCGGAAACCAUUUGGCUAGAGUCCGGAAGAGGAGAGUGGAAUUCCUGGUGUAGCGGUGAAAUGCGCAGAUAUCAGGAAGAACACCAAUGGCGAAAGCAGCUCGCUGGGACGGUACUGACGCUAAGGCGCGAAAGCGUGGGGAGCGAACAGG